AUACUCUGGUUUCUCUUCAGAUCAUAUAAAUCUUUCGCCUUUUACUAAAGAUUUCUGUGGAGAGGAACAAGUAUGAUUGUUGUGGAAUUUUUGAGGUAUUUAUACAAAC
rnacentral:snRNA from 1 species